CGAAGCAAGCUUUGCCUUGCUUUGCUGACGAGUGGGCGGACGGGUGAGUAAUGUCUGGGAAACUGCCUGAUGGAGGGGGAUAACUACUGAAAACGGUACCUAAUACCGCUUAACGUCGCAACACCAUGGAGGGGGACCUUCAGGCCUCUUGCCUUCCGAUGUGCCCAGAUGGGAUUACCUAUUAGGUGGGGGAACGGGUCACCUAUGCCACGAUCCCUAAUUGGUCUGAGACGAUGACCGGCCACCCUGCAACUGGGACCCGGUCCACACUCCUACCGCAUGCAGCAGGGGGGAAUAUGGCACAAUGGGCGCAGGCCUGAUGCCUCCAUGCCCCGUGUCUGAUGAAGGCCUUCGGGUUGCAAACUCACUUUCAUCGGGGAUGAAGGAAAUACGGUUAAUAACCUUG
rnacentral:rRNA from 1 species